GACGAACGCUGGCGGCGUGCUUAACACAUGCAAGUCGAACGGAAAGGCCCUGCUUGCAGGGUACUCGAGUGGCGAACGGGUGAGUAACACGUGGGUGAUCUGCCCUGCACUUCGGGAUAAGCUUGGGAAACUGGGUCUAAUACCGGAUAGGAGCCAUCUUUAGUGUGGUGGUUGGAAAGUUUUUUCGGUGUAGGAUGAGCUCGCGGCCUAUCAGCUUGUUGGUGGGGUAAUGGCCUACCAAGGCGGCGACGGGGAGCCGGCCGGGGGGGGUGGACGGCCACUUUGGGGCUGGGACCCGGCCCCGCCCCCCCGGGGGGGGCGGCGGGGGGAAGUGGGGCAAAGGGGGGCAGCCCGGGUGCCGGGCCGCCCGGGGGGGGUGGAAGGCCUUGGGGUUGAAAUCCCUUUUCGCUGGGGACGAAGCUUUUUGUGACGGGACCUAGUAAAGAAGCACCGGCUAACUACGUG
rnacentral:rRNA from 1 species